CUGAGGACAGGUGUCAAUCCAUAUCUUCCAAGUGACCCUAUGUAGGGGAACAGUCUCUAUUCUGCUCUGUGUCAGUGUGUAUCAUGAUCUCUGAAGACAGGUGUCAAUCCAUAUCUGCCAAGUGACCCUAUGUAGGAGGAACAGUCUCUAUUCUGCUCUUUGUCAGUGUGUAUCAGGGGCUCUGAGGACAGGUGUCAAUCCAUAUCUGCCAAGUGACCCUAUGUAGGAGGAACAGUCUCUAUUCUGCUCUGUGUCAGUGUGUAUCAGGGGCUCUGAGGACAGGUGUCAAUCCAUAUGUCAAGGUGUCAAUAUGUCAUAUGUCAAUCCAUAUCCAUUGUGAUUUAGGAAUGUUAGGUGAUUUAUGCCCUUUAUGGAUUAAGAG